UACGGAGGGUGCGAGCGUUGUCCGGAAUCACUGGGCGUAAAGGGCGCGUAGGUGGCGGGACAAGCGUGCGGUGAAAGCUCGGGGCUCAACCCCGCGUCGGCCGUGCGAACUGUUUUGCUUGAGCACUGUAGAGGCAGGCGGAAUUCCGGGUGUAGCGGUGGAAUGCGUAGAGAUCCGGAAGAACACCGGUGGCGAAGGCGGCCUGCUGGGCAGUAGCUGACACUGAGGCGCGACAGCGUGGGGAGCAAACAGG
rnacentral:rRNA from 1 species